rnacentral:tRNA from 1 species
CCUUUAGCUCAGCUGGUAGAGCAGUAGACUCUUAAUCUAUUUGUCCAGGGUUCGAAUCCCUGAAGG